rnacentral:siRNA from 1 species
UAAUGACUAUUGAUAAAACA